UAGGGAGUUUUCGGCAAUGGGGGAAACCCUGACCGAGCAACGCCGCGUGAACGAUGAAGGUCUUCGGAUCGUAAAGUUCUGUUGUAAGAGAGUAAUGAAUUCGAGAGUAGAAUGCUCGAGUUUUGAAAGUAUCUUACCAGAAAGCCACGGCUAACUACGUGCCAGCAGCCGCGGUAAUACGUAGGUGGCAAGCGUUAUCCGGAAUUAUUGGGCGUAAAGAGUGAGCAGGCGGUCGUUUAAGUCUGAAGUCAAAUGCAGUGGCUCAACCACUGUUCGCUUUGGAAACUGGAUGACUAGAGUAUGAGAGAAGUAAGCGGAAUUCCAUGUGUAGCGGUGAAAUGCGUAGAUAUAUGGAGGAACACCAGUGGCGAAGGCGGCUUACUAGAUCAAUACUGACGCUCAGUCACGAAAGCGUGGGUAGCAAAUAGG
rnacentral:rRNA from 2 species